UUUGGUGAUGAUUUUUUUUAUAUUCACACUGUAUGAGAAGUUUAUCUUCAAUGACUACAGACAAAAAAAACUGAUUUAAUGACUCUGAAA
rnacentral:snoRNA from 1 species